AUUGAACGCUGGCGGCAGGCCUAACACAUGCAAGUCGAACGCGUGGCGGACGGGUGAGUAAUGUAUGGAAAUCUGCCUGAUAGAGGGGGAUCACUACUGGAAACGGUGGCUAAUACCAUAUACUAUGCGAUGCGCCCAGAUGGGAUUCGCUAGUAGGUGGGGUAAAGGCUCACCUAGGCGACGAUCCCUAGCUGGUCUGAGAGGAGGACCAGCCACACUGGAACUGAGACACGGUCCAGACUCCUACGGGAGGCAGCAGUGGGGAAUAUUGCACAAUGGGCGCAAGCCUGAUGCAGCCAUGCCGCGUGUAUGAAGAAGGCCUUCGGGUUGUAAAGUACUUUCAGCGGGGAGGCGUUACCCGCAGAAGAAGCACCGGCUAACUCCGUGCCAGCAGCCGCGGUAAUUC
rnacentral:rRNA from 1 species